UGCCAUCAGAUGUGCCCAGAUGGGAUUAGCUAGUAGGUGGGGUAAUGGCUCACCUAGGCGACGAUCCCUAGCUGGUCUGAGAGGAUGACCAGCCACACUGGAACUGAGACACGGUCCAGACUCCUACGGGAGGCAGCAGUGGGGAAUAUUGCACAAUGGGCGCAAGCCUGAUGCAGCCAUGCCGCGUGUGUGAAGAAGGCCUUCGGGUUGUAAAGCACUUUCAGCGAGGAGGAAGGGUUCAGUGUUAAUAGCACUGUUCAUUGACGUUACUCGCAGAAGAAGCACCGGCUAACUCCGUGCCAGCAGCCGCGGUAAUACGGAGGGUGCAAGCGUUAAUCGGAAUUACUGGGCGUAAAGCGCACGCAGGCGGUUUGUUAAGUCAGAUGUGAAAUCCCCGCGCUUAACGUGGGAACUGCAUUUGAAACUGGCAAGCUAGAGUCUUGUAGAGGGGGGUAGAAUUCCAGGUGUAGCGGUGAAAUGCGUAGAGAUCUGGAGGAAUACCGGUGGCGAAGGCGGCCCCCUGGACAAAGACUGACGCUCAGGUGCGAAAGCGUGGGGAGCAAACAGGAUU
rnacentral:rRNA from 1 species